UACUAGGGAACUUGGUAAAGCAACCUCAUG
rnacentral:piRNA from 1 species